CUGAAUAUCGAUCCCGAUUAAACAAGAAGAGGAAAUUCGAAAUAGGCAAAAUCCAGUCAUGGACAUUCCAAUAUAUACUGUUGAUGCCUUUACAAAAGUGCCAUUUGAAGGAAACCCCGCAGCCAUUUGCUUAGUGGAUCCAGAACAUGUAAUUUGUUUGCUUAAGAUUUAUCUGAAGCACAGAUGCAGAAAGUUGCAGCUGAGAUGAAUUUGUCGGAAACAGUGUUUCUUCGAAAUAAAGAGAAAAAUGGAUCUUUUUCAAAAGGAAAUUCCUUUCAUAUUCGCUGGUUUACUCCAACCAACGAGGUUAACUUGUGUGGCCAUGCAACUCUUGCUACUGCUGCUGUAUUAUAUAACGAGUUAAGAAAUCCUUCAUCGAGUGUGAAAUUUGACUCUUUAAGUGGAGAAUUGGUUGUCUCCAAGGACGGGAAUGGAUUUGUUAUGAACUUCCCUCUCAAUGAAACAAUUGUCCAGGACAAAGCAGAGUAUCACAAGUUGUUAGAAGUAAGUAGGCAUUGUAAUCUCAUGAAUCUGGAUUGAUAAAAAGAUAAAACUAGAUGGUGAGUCAUUUUUCAAAAAAAAUGUUUAUUCAUUGCACCCCUUCUAUUGUUGCAAAGCAUGUCCUUUUCACUAUAUUCUUUAAACUAGGAGGCAUCUAUUACCCAUGCAUAGUACGACAUUUGAUUUGAAUCUGUGUCACUUGGAUGACCUAUGGCAGUUGGUCUACAUCCAUUGCUCCCUGUUGUGUGUUAAUAAUUAAAUAUUUAUAACUUUUUCUUUAAAACUUGGCCAUUUCUUUUCAAAUUUGGUAUAAUACAUCUUUGAGGUAAGGGGAACAUAAAUUGCAAAUUUCAUGACCUUGGCAAAAAUUGUCAUGACCUUGGCAAAAAUUGUCAAAAUUUGACCAUUUCUCAAAAAUCUUUUUCUCUUUAGAGAGGAGGUAAGGUCAUAACCAUAUUUUUUUUUACUCCAGAAUGAAACUUAAUUAAAUGCAUUUAAGAGAUUCCUCAGCAGGUCUAUGUAUAGGCUAUGGCACUCAGAUGACUGUUAAGACCUGUUGGGCUCUUUUUCAUACUAUGCCUCUUCUUCCAAACUAUGUACCCAUCAAUUUGGUAAUUCCAUCAUUAUUGAAGCAGCUUUUACAAUCUCAUUAUUUAAUACAAUUUUAAACUUAGAAUAUGAUAUUCAAAGUAUAACUCAUAGAGUAUUUCAAACAUCAAUAUCACCAAAAAUUGUGCGUGCACUUUUCAUUUCUAAAUUUUAAAUUUAUUAACAUCUUGUUUUAAAUUUCAAUCAUUUAAAUAUUUAAUGCUAUACAACUAACUGCAGGAGUGAAAUAUUUAAAUAUUUGUCUGUUUCAGUUGAUUGUAUCUGUUGAUUGUGUAGAAACAGUGGAAUAUUCCCCUCCCACCAAGAAACUACUUGUGAGGCUUACAGACAAAAUGACAAGAAAACAACUAGAAUCUCUCACACCAGAUAUUUCCAGCAUGAUGGCUGCUGAGGUCACUGGAAAGGUGAAAGGUGUGAUUGUGACCUUGAAAGGAAGUACUGAGAAUGGUGCAGUGAGUUCUGAUGGGGAAACUUAUGAUUUUAUCUCAAGAUAUUUUGCGCCCUGGAACGGAAUCCCAGAGGACCCUGUAACUGGUUCAGCACACACAGUUCUAGCUUAUUACUGGGGAAAAGUGUUAUCCAAAAAGACUUUAUUUGCUCGUCAGUGUUCGCGGCGCGGUGGUGACGUCAGAAUGAGGGUCCUAGAGGGGGACAGAGUGGACCUUAUUGGACAGGCAGUUACUAGUACUGUACUGAAGGGCUCCUUUAUAUUGUGACACAAAAUAAAAUCUAAGCUUAAGGG
rnacentral:misc_RNA from 1 species